rnacentral:misc_RNA from 1 species
CCGAGUGAGAGCCUCUAGGCUCGACCUCCAACCCUUUGUGGACCCACACUUGUUGCCUCGGGGGCGACCCGGACGCCGACGCGUCGGCGUCGGGCCCCCCGACGGACCCUUCAAACACCGUAUCUGUACGUCGGAGUACUUGAUGAAUCAAUCA